UCCGGUUUGUCACCGGCAGUAUCCCUAGAGUCCCCGACAUUACUCGCUGGUAACUAAGGACAAGGGUUGCGCUCGUUGCGGGACUUAACCCAACACCUCACGGCACGAGCUGACGACAACCAUGCAGCAUCUGUGCACGCUCCCUCGCGGGUCCCGUCUCUUACGAGUUGGUACCACGUGCAUGUCAAGCCGAGGUAAGGUUCUGCGCGUUGCAUCGAAUUAAACCACACGCUCCGCUGCUUGUGCGGGCCCCCGUCAAUUCCUUUGAGUUCUAAUCUUGCGACCGUACUCCCCAGGCGGGAUGCUUAAUGCGUUAGCUGCGCCACUGACGAGUAAACCCGCCAACGGCUAGCAUCCAUCGUUUACGGCGUGGACUAC
rnacentral:misc_RNA from 1 species